rnacentral:rRNA from 1 species
UAUGGCUGUACCACCCUAAACAAGCCCAAUCUUGUCUGGUCUCAGAAGCUAAGCAGGGUCAGACCUGGUUAGUACUUGGAUGGGAAAAAGAUCUUCAGGGGAGACUGCUCAGAGACAAGC